rnacentral:rRNA from 1 species
GACAGCAGCCGCCGCGGUAAUACGAAGGGGGCUAGCGUUGUUCGGAUUUACUGGGCGUAAAGGGCGCGUAGGCGGGCUGAUAAGUCGGGGGUGAAAUCCCAAGGCUCAACCUUGGAACUGCCUUUGAUACUGUUGGUCUUGAGUCCGGGAGAGGUGAGUGGAACUCCGAGUGUAGAGGUGAAAUUCGUAGAUAUUCGGAAGAACACCAGUGGCGAAGGCGACUCACUGGCCCGUUACUGACGCUGAGGAGCGAAAGCGUGGGGAGCGAACAGGAUUAGAGACCCCCGUAGUCCCUGUCUCUUAUAC